rnacentral:miRNA from 1 species
CUCCUCCCCUGCCUGGCCCAG